rnacentral:rRNA from 1 species
AGAGUUUGAUCCUGGCUCAGAGCGAACGCUGGCGGAAUGCUUAACACAUGCAAGUCGCACGCCCCGGCAACGGGGAGUGGCGGACGGGUGAGGAACGCGUAGGAACAUGUCCAGAGGUGGGGGACAACCCUGGGAAACCGGGGCUAAUACCGCAUACGGCCCGAGGGCCAAAGCCGCGAGGCGCCUUUGGAGUGGCCUGCGUCCGAUUAGCUUGUUGGCGGGGUAACGGCCCACCAAGGCGACGAUCGGUAGCUGGUCUGAGAGGACGAUCAGCCACACUGGGACUGAGACACGGCCCAGACUCCUACGGGAGGCAGCAGUGGGGAAUAUUGGGCAAUGGGCGCAAGCCUGACCCAGCAAUUCCGCGUGGGUGAAGAAGGUCUUCGGAUUGUAAAGCCCUUUCGGCGGGGACGAUGGUGACGGUACCCGCAGAAGAAGCCCCGGCUAACUUCGUGCCAGCAGCCGCGGUAAUACGAAGGGGGCUAGCGUUGCUCGGAAUCAUUGGGCGUAAAGGGCGCGUAGGCGGCGCAGCUAGUCAGGCGUGAAACCCCCGGGCUCAACCCGGGGACUGCGUUUGAUACGGCUGUGCUAGAGGAUGGAAGAGGGCCGCGGAAUUCCCAGUGUAGAGGUGAAAUUCGUAGAUAUUGGGAAGAACACCGGUGGCGAAGGCGGCGGCCUGGUCCAUUACUGACGCUGAGGCGCGACAGCGUGGGGAGCAAACAGGAUUAGAUACCCCAGUAGUCC